GAUGAAGAACGCAGUGAAAUGCGAUAAGUAAUGUGAAUUGCAGAAUUCAGUGAAUCAUCGAAUCUUUGAACGCACAUUGCGCCCUCUGGUAUUCCGGGGGACAUGCCUGUUCGAGCGUCAUUAUAACCACUCAAGCUCUCGCUUGGUAUUGGGGUUCGCGGUUUCGCGGCCCCUAAAAUCAGUGGCGGUGCCUGUCGGCUCUACGCGUAGUAAUACUUCUCGCGAUUGAGUUCGAUAGGUCUACUUGCCAGUAACCCCCAAUUUUUACAGGUUGACCUCGGAUCAGGUAGGGAUACCCGCUGAACUUAAGCAUAUCAAUAAGCGGAGGA
rnacentral:misc_RNA from 1 species